GCUAGAUCUGGAUGCUCCACGAGAUCAAGUUCAAAGUGGGUCAGAGGGCUGACAAAAUAUGAAUUUCGCCUUCCCAGCACAGUAUUUCUACAGGAAAGCUGAUAUGCCUGUCUUGACAGUGGAACAAGGGCAAUCAUGGAUGGUGCUAUUAUCUACAGCAUCGGAACCUGCUGGAGAACACUCUGCAAGCGGAUAAGGGAGCUUCACCAGUAACCAGUGUUAUGCUGCUGGGCAUUGAGGAUGGAGGGCGAUGCUGUUGAAAUACACUU